GCGGAGGGUCAUUACACAACAAGUAUGAAGGCCUGGCUUCCCGGCCGGCUGAAGUAUUUUUUUUUUCCACCCAUGUCUUUUGCGCACUUGUUGUUUCCUGGGCGGGUUCCCCUGCCACCAGGACCAAACUAUAAACCUUUUUUCCCAUGCAGUUUCCAUCCCCGUCAGUACAAAAAAACAACGUAAUGAUUACAACUUUCAAAAACGGAUCUCUUGGUUCUGGCAUCAAUGAAAAACCCAUCCAAAUGCGAUACCUAUUGUGAAUUGCAAAAUUCAUUGAAUCAUCGAAUCUUUGAACCCACAUUGCGCCCUUUGGUAUUCCAAAGGGCAUGCCUGUUCGAGCGUCAUUUGUACCUUCAAGCUUUGCUUGGGGUUGGGCGUUUUUGUCUCUCCUUGUGGGAGACUCGCCUCAAAACAAUUGGCAGCCGGCCUACUGGUUUCGGAGCGCAGCACAUUUUCUUGCGCUUGCUAUCAGGAGAAAAGGACGGCAAUCCAUCAAAACUUCUCCAUUGUUAACCUUUGACCUCGGAUCAGGUAGGGAUACCCGCUAAUUUUAAACAUAUCAAUAAGCGGAGGAA
rnacentral:rRNA from 2 species